GAACGCUGGCGGCGUGCCUAAUACAUGCAAGUCGAACGAGUUCUCGUUGAUGAUCGGUGCUUGCACCGAGAUUCAACAUGGAACGAGUGGCGGACGGGUGAGUAACACGUGGGUAACCUGCCCUUAAGUGGGGGAUAACAUUUGGAAACAGAUGCUAAUACCGCAUAGAUCCAAGAACCGCAUGGUUCUUGGCUGAAAGAUGGCGUAAGCUAUCGCUUUUGGAUGGACCCGCGGCGUAUUAGCUAGUUGGUGAGGUAAUGGCUCACCAAGGCGAUGAUACGUAGCCGAACUGAGAGGUUGAUCGGCCACAUUGGGACUGAGACACGGCCCAAACUCCUACGGGAGGCAGCAGUAGGGAAUCUUCCACAAUGGACGCAAGUCUGAUGGAGCAACGCCGCGUGAGUGAAGAAGGCUUUCGGGUCGUAAAACUCUGUUGUUGGAGAAGAAUGGUCGGCAGAGUAACUGUUGUCGGCGUGACGGUAUCCAACCAGAAAGCCACGGCUAACUACGUGCCAGCAGCCGCGGUAAUACGUAGGUGGCAAGCGUUAUCCGGAUUUAUUGGGCGUAAAGCGAGCGCAGGCGGUUUUUUAAGUCUGAUGUGAAAGCCCUCGGCUUAACCGAGGAAGCGCAUCGGAAACUGGGAAACUUGAGUGCAGAAGAGGACAGUGGAACUCCAUGUGUAGCGGUGAAAUGCGUAGAUAUAUGGAAGAACACCAGUGGCGAAGGCGGCUGUCUGGUCUGUAACUGACGCUGAGGCUCGAAAGCAUGGGUAGCGAACAGGAUUAGAUACCCUGGUAGUCCAUGCCGUAAACGAUGAAUGCUAGGUGUUGGAGGGUUUCCGCCCUUCAGUGCCGCAGCUAACGCAUUAAGCAUUCCGCCUGGGGAGUACGACCGCAAGGUUGAAACUCAAAGGAAUUGACGGGGGCCCGCACAAGCGGUGGAGCAUGUGGUUUAAUUCGAAGCAACGCGAAGAACCUUACCAGGUCUUGACAUCUUUUGAUCACCUGAGAGAUCAGGUUUCCCCUUCGGGGGCAAAAUGACAGGUGGUGCAUGGUUGUCGUCAGCUCGUGUCGUGAGAUGUUGGGUUAAGUCCCGCAACGAGCGCAACCCUUAUGACUAGUUGCCAGCAUUUAGUUGGGCACUCUAGUAAGACUGCCGGUGACAAACCGGAGGAAGGUGGGGAUGACGUCAAAUCAUCAUGCCCCUUAUGACCUGGGCUACACACGUGCUACAAUGGAUGGUACAACGAGUUGCGAGACCGCGAGGUCAAGCUAAUCUCUUAAAGCCAUUCUCAGUUCGGACUGUAGGCUGCAACUCGCCUACACGAAGUCGGAAUCGCUAGUAAUCGCGGAUCAGCACGCCGCGGUGAAUACGUUCCCGGGCCUUGUACACACCGCCCGUCACACCAUGAGAGUUUGUAACACCCGAAGCCGGUGGCGUAACCCUUUUAGGGAGCGAGCCGUCUAAGGUGGGA
rnacentral:rRNA from 2 species